rnacentral:rRNA from 1 species
AACGAACGCUGGCGGCAUGCUUAACACAUGCAAGUGGAGCGACGAACCGGGCUUCGGCCCGGGGCAAAGCCGCGAACGGAUGAGUAACACGUGGGUAACCUGCCCCGAUGAUUGGGACAACCCGAGGAAACUCGGGCUAAUACCAAAUGUGCUCGCUGCCCAUGAGGGCAACGAGGAAAGGAAGCUUCGGCCUCCGCAUCGGGAUGGGCCCGCGGCGCAUUAGCUUGUUGGUGAGGUAACGGCUCACCAAGGCGACGAUGCGUAGCUGGUCUGGGAGGACGAUCAGCCACACUGGGACUGAGACACGGCCCAGACUCCUACGGGAGGCAGCAGUGGGGAAUCUUGCGCAAUGCGCGAAAGCGUGACGCAGCAACGCCGCGUGCGGGAAGACGGCCUUCGGGUUGUAAACCGCUUUCAGUUGGGACGAAGGUCCGCCGGUGAAUAGCCGGCCGGACUGACGGUACCUUCAGAAGAAGCCCCGGCUAACUUCGUGCCAGCCGCCGCCGUAACAC